rnacentral:lncRNA from 1 species
CUGGGCUCAAGCAGUCCACCUGCCUUGGCCUCCCAAAGUGCUGGGAUUACAGGUGUGAGACACUGCGCCCUGCCCAGUUUUCUGUUAGAUGAAUUAGGUAUAAGGAAAAUAAAAACAAACAAAAAACAGGAAUAAGGAAAAUAGCAGGUGUCUCACUCAUUUUGUAUGUUUCAAAUAAUUCUACCGUAAAACAUUAAAAAAAAUUCUUUUCGCUUAUUCUAGGCAGUGAUGACUUCUUAGGGAAUUCAGUCCCUCAACCUUUGCUCAGAUCCUACUUCACUUGGUGUACUUUGCAGGGGGACCUUUUAUGGGUCAGCAGGACACGAGGCUGGGAGAAGUGAUGGUGGACGAGGACGGCUGGGAGCAGGGACCCACCUUCCUGAUGUCAUGACUGUGCAAGCUGGGGCUGUUGGUGCUGUGCAGCCCCCCUCGCCUGGGGGCCAGGGUGUGGGGGACAUGAGAGGCCACCCAGAAUGCAUCCAUUUAAUAGAAGUUUCCAGCGCUGACCGUACAAACCAGUAAGGAACCAGCAGCAAAGGACGCAGGG